rnacentral:rRNA from 1 species
UACGUAGGUGGCAAGCGUUGUCCGGAAUUACUGGGCGUAAAGCGCGCGUAGGCGGCUUUGUAAGUUAGAGGUGAAAGCCCGGAGCUCAACUCCGGAAUUGCCUUUAAGACUGCAUCGCUUGAAUCCAGGAGAGGUGAGUGGAAUUCCGAGUGUAGAGGUGAAAUUCGUAGAUAUUCGGAAGAACACCAGUGGCGAAGGCGGCUCACUGGACUGGUAUUGACGCUGAGGCGCGAAAGCUAGGGGAGCAAACGGG